rnacentral:ncRNA from 1 species
CAAAGGUUUGGUCCUAGCCUUACUGUUAAUUUUUAUUAGACCUACACAUGCAAGUCUCCGCUAUCCGGUGAGUACGCCCUUAAACCUCUACCACGAGCUUUAGGGAGCAGGCAUCAGGCACACUCUUAAAAGUAGCCCAUGACACCUCGUUUAACCACACCCCCAAGGGAUACAGCAGUGACUAACAUUGAGCAAUAAACGAAAGUUUGACUAAAUUAUAAUAAAAAGGGUUGGUAAAUUUCGUGCCAGCCACCGCGGUCAUACGAUUAACCCAAAUUAACAGAAAAACGGCGUAAAGUGUGUUUAAGCAAAAUAAAACUUCAAUAAGGUUAAGAAUCAACUGUGCUGUAAUACGCCCUAGUUGUUAUCAAAAUACCCAACUAACGUGACUUUACCAACUGCUGAAGACACUAAAGCUAAGACCCAAACUGGGAUUAGAGACCCCACUAUGCUUAGCCAUAAACUGAGGUAAUUAAUUAACGAAAUUACUCGCCAGAGAACUACGAGCAACCGCUUAAAACUCAAAGGACUUGGCGGUGCCCUAGACCCUCCUAGAGGAGCCUGUUCUAUAAUCGAUAAACCCCGAUACACCUCACCCCUCCUUGCCCAACAGUCUAUAUACCGCCAUCGUCAGCCCACCCCAAUAGGGAUCACAAAAGUGGGCAAAACCAUGAAACCAUAAAAACGUUAGGUCAAGGUGUAGCAUAUGGAGGGGGAAGUAAUGGGCUACAUUUUCUACUUUAGAACAUAACGAAAUGUCUAUUGAAAUAAAGAUAUGAAGGAGGAUUUAGCAGUAAAUUAAGAAUAGAGAGCUUAAUUGAAAAUGGCAAUAGGGUGCGCACACACCGCCCGUCACCCUCCUCAAUAAAGUAAACACCCAUACCUAAUAAGAGUACGUAGGAAAGAGGAGAUAAGUCGUAACAUGGUAAGUGUACCGGAAGGUGCACUUGGAAUAUC